AAAGGUAUUUGAAGGGACACAUGUCCAUUUUAAUUAGCGCCGCAAAGUCUCUGAGCUGUAAUAAAAACUCCCAGGACAGUGGAAAAUGAUAUUGUGCCAUUUCCAGAGAUAAGUGCUUUUCCAGUCUUUGGCUUGAACAAAAAUAGGUUGCGUUGGAGCUCCAGUUAAUGUUUAUCUGGCCCACAGCACUGUUUUACUAUUCUGUGUUGUCUAGACGAAGGCAUUUCAACACAUUUGUUUACAGUCUUUGACCUGUGCCGGCUCUUUCUUAAGCUUAACCAAUAAAGUUAGAGCAUAGAGUUUUUAUUUCCCUGCUUAGACAUAUUUUUGAGCCCAAUCUUUGUUGACAUCUUGGAACAUUUUAGAGGGCAAUGUUGGUGCACCCUGAUGCCAACACUGAGGGUCCUCAAAAUGUGAGACGGAUGUGUUGAACGUGCUUCGCCGCGCUAUGGAGUGACGUCCACCGUGAUGUAUUGCACAUGUGUUGCAUUGAAAUUCUUCUGCCAGCGUUCUCCUGCCACAGACUGAGGAGGCUUGUGAUGAAUGACCCUUCAUGUCACAGACGACCUUUGGACAAACAGGUUAAAAAUAUCAUCCAAUCACAGGCUUGUUUGGAGAGAGACAAGACUGAGUAGGUGAAGCAGGAGAAGGGUAGGUUUUGUAAUUUUGAACUCACUAAAGGACAGACAGAGAGUAAAGAUCUACUCGGGUACAUAAAACACACCCACCUCGUAUCAACAAAGAUGACCCUCUGGAGAUAUCUGCCCCCUGGGCCAUCAAACGCACCAGCCUGCGUCAUCCCUGUUGUCAUCUCAACAGGAUUAGGCAAUCACAGCUCUUCCGUGCCACAUCAAAACAGAAGAUGCAUGCAGAGAACGUCUGAUGGCUGCCAUUUAUGUCUUGACUUGUCAGCAGAGAAUCGCUGAAGAACAUUUGUUCACACUCAUCAGUUGAAAAUAAAUAGAUACACCCCUUUU